rnacentral:rRNA from 1 species
UACGUAGGGUGCAAGCGUUGUCCGGAAUUAUUGGGCGUAAAGAGCUCGUAGGCGGUCUGUCGCGUCGGAUGUGAAAACUCGGGGCUCAACCCCGAGCCUGCAUUCGAUACGGGCAGACUAGAGUUCGGUAGGGGAGACUGGAAUUCCUGGUGUAGCGGUGAAAUGCGCAGAUAUCAGGAGGAACACCGGUGGCGAAGGCGGGUCUCUGGGCCGAUACUGACGCUGAGGAGCGAAAGCUAGGGGAGCGAACAGG